UUCUGGAUGAGAAUUAUUAGUCUCACUCCUAAACUGCAAAUCUCAGAAUUUUGUAGGAUGGGUCUAUGAUAGAGAAAAUUGAAUCAUAGUAUUAUAAUUGUGUAAUCUUGAAAGGCCCCUUGACACUUAAGGGACUAGCACAGUGCUCACUGAUCUGCCCUUCUAGAUGUAUUGGUCUAAAACAGGGCUGGGCUUCUAAACAGGGAAUAUAGAAUUAAGAUAAGAAGCACAGAACAGAAACACAAAAGGUGCCAAGAAAAAGAAAGAAACUUGGAAAAGAAGAG
rnacentral:lncRNA from 11 species